rnacentral:rRNA from 1 species
UACAGAGGGUGCAAGCGUUGUUCGGAAUUACUGGGCGUAAAGCGUGCGUAGGCGGUUCGUUGUGUCUGUGGUGAAAGCCCCGGGCUUAACCUGGGAAUGGCCAUGGAAACUGGCGAGCUGGAGUGUGGCAGAGGGGGGUGGAAUUCCGCGUGUAGCAGUGAAAUGCGUAGAGAUGCGGAGGAACACCGAUGGCGAAGGCAGCCCCCUGGGCUAACACUGACGCUGAGGCACGAAAGCGUGGGGAGCAAACAGG